GCACAGUCAUUAAUUGGUCUUAAAAUUAAUGUACUGCUAUGUAGAGAGAUUUUAACAUAUUAUUAAACAGAACUAAUUUUAAUGAGUUCUCUGCAUAAUCCAACAUAACUUGUUGUAUGCUAAUAUUCAGUUUGCAAGAUUCCAGGUUUUCAUAGGUAUUCAUGGCUGAUGGUGUUGUAUUAUUUUAGUGCUUUGUCUAUAAUUACUACUGCUGUCCAUAAAGCAGGUUUAAGAGUUCUACCUCAGUCCAGAGAGAUUCUGUCUUCAUGGAACUGAGACAGGGAGAUUCCUGCUUCUUUCUCAGUUAACUAAGGAUUCAUAAGUGUAAGACCUCUUCUGAACAUAGAUGAGAUGACCAUGUCUGCACAAAAGGGGUGAAAAUGUGAGUCUCCUAUCAGGACAAGGAAAAAGUUAUGGAUUUAUCGUGUGUGUGAGACUCCGGGCAUCCCCCUGUUUGCUGUAGAGCUAUUAACUGCUUGAUUGCUACUGACCAGACCUGAUUGAAGAGGUACGUUGGCAGAUGAUGACAUUACUGCAGGAGAAGGUACGUUGCGAAUCCAUGAGAACUCAUAGCAGCUGUUUGCAUUAUAACCUCAGCAUCAGUGUGAAAGCUUACUGGCAUGUUCAUAAUGGAUAGUGCUCCAUUCUUCCUUGGCUAGAAACACACAGUCCCUUUUGGUGAAGAAAUUGUGACUUUGGACCUCAAGUCAAAACCUGCUUUGUUACAAACCGUGGGAAGUACAGUCUGUGAGUGUUGAUCCCAGUUAACCUGGUGUUUGCUGCCCACCUCUCUGUGUCCUGAUCCAUAUGGAGCAGCACUGGGUGACCAUGCACUGCUCUGGACUUUCAGAUGUUGAGAAAUGUCCUGAAGGCAGAUUGUUUGACAGAAUGUUUGAAAAAAUUUUCCCUGAUUUUGAUCAGAGCCAUUGUGAUCUUGAUGGUCCUAAAGCCCUGAAAAAGGAGGCGAGGCUUGGCAGAGCAUCUAAGACUACAUAUGGUUUACAAAAUGCCUCAAAAAUGCUGGGAAUGGGCCUGUAUCAGACUUCAGCCCUUCCUGACUGUGCUUCCAGAGUUUCUACCAUUUUUUUGAGGCCUCUUUUUAUUUUAUUCUCAAAAACUCUGCUAACAAAGCCACCUUUGUUGAGCUAUUAUGUAUUGACAUCCAAAGAACAUUUUGAAUUGUACAUGAAGGAAGGCUAAUUCUGCACAUGGUUCCUGGAAUAUUUUGGCUAUGGUGUGAUUUUGAUGCAAAGUUUGGAAACUGUGCUACAAGGUGCCUUUUUAAAACAAAAAAAACAACAAAAACAAACCCCAGGCAUACUGUCAGAAAUUCAUCAGCAGUUCCUCCUGAGUAAUGUACUUUUCCAGAGACAAGUGAAAAAAUGUCAAAACCAAAUAAAGAAUAGCUGUGUUAUAGGAGCUAUUCGAGAUCCAAUUUAGCCUUUCUUAUAAGUUUCCCUUCCAGUAAGCUGCUCUUCUCAUGUUUUCUUCCAGUAAAUGAGAUGUGCAUAACUCAAUCGUAUUAGAGAAUUGAUCCCUUUCAAAAACAUGCCAACAAACAAACAAACAGAAACUUCUGAAUGGCAAAAGAGGAAAAAAUAAAGGGUGCCAGUUUCCUAACCCUUUGGCUCACGUUCCUGGCUUGUCCAGCUCUCCCUCCAUUCACAGGAGGAUCUGCAGAGUUACACUGAUAAGAAUUCAGGUCACAGGAGAUUUCUAGUAAUGGUCUGGAUUAAAUCCAUCCAUACAUUCAUCUUUCUGUACACUAGAUGCGAGUCUUGGAUAUAAAAGCUGCCGAUCCCCAAUUUUUCA